GGACCAUUUGGUUAACGUCCAAAUGAUCGCCAAGUUGGACCUUAACCUUGACAAACUUAGUAUCAACCCCUGAGGUUUCAAUUUUGAAACAUUCUGAGGCUGAAAUUAAGUGAAAGAAAAUUAAACAAUAAGAUUAAACAAAGAUAAAUGGAUAAUACUAAUCUCUUUAGUUUGAAUCAUGUCGAAAUAAUUUCUGGAGGAAAGUGUCGAGGUGAUAAGAUGAUGAAAAUUGAAUAACAAGAAUUGAGAUUAUCUUACCAGAUUUAAGUUGCUUGGAGAAAUCAGCGAUUUCCUCAUUGGUCCUUGGGUUAAUCAAAGUAACACGGACUUCCGCAUCAUCUUCAAUGUAUUCAUUAAGUGAGGUCAAGCAAAUUUGGUUAGAAGUGGGUGAAAGAAUUUGGGGUAAAGUCAAAAGAUAUCGUGGAGUUUGAAUGAUUUGUCUUCAUGGAACCACAAGCAGCGGAUAUAAGAAAAGAAAAGAACGAAAAAAAGAAAAACAAUUAAUCCAAUGUUGAAACGGAAAAGGAAAACAGAGAAAUGGAGAUAAUCUUAUUGAUUGAUUAAAGUUGUAGACCCGAUUACACACACAACUACACAGAGACACCAAUUAACAAGGAAAAUUAACAAAGAAACUUUUUCAAUGGUUGUUUCAACUUACUCAUUAGAGUGAAGUUUACCGUUAACCAGAACGGUGCUCACAAGGAGGCACGAUAGCCAAAAGAGAUUCAUCCUUUUCCUGUGAGGUACACUGAAAAAAGGAAUCAAUUGAAUGACGAGGCAAACUGAUUAAUUGGCCCUUUUAUACCCUGGACUUAAUUACAUUGCCAAGAGAGAUGAAGAUAAGGAGGAAGAGAAAGAAAGAAACGCAAAAAAAUGGAGACUCUUCAGUUAAUGAUGAAUUUACAGAAAACAAAUGAAGAGAUGAAGAUGAAGAUUAUGGUAAAGAGAAAGAGAAAAGUAAGAAUAUGAAAUCUUUCUCGAUUCAAUCAGAUCAAUAUUUCAAUCUGCUGAGUUAAUAUAAUCAUCGUGAUUAUCAUUAUCACUAAUCCAAGAUCACAAUUAAGAUGAUCUUAUUUCUAUCUCUUCAACUCUCAUCUUUCAUUGGUGUGAUGGUUAAUCGAAACAAUUAACGAGUCAUAUUGAUUAUUUUUCUUGGUGAAUUUUAAUUGUGAUUAAGUGAAAGUAACAAUUUUGACAAAGAAAACAAAGUUUAGCCAAACCGAUCAGUAAUCAACUAAACACUGGAACCAUUUUUUUUAUUGCAACUACCAAAAUAAUAAUCAAUUCUUAACCACUAAAUUUAAAACUAAUCACAAUUAGUGCUGAGAAAUAGCGAUAAUUGAACAAUUAAGGCGAAAGUUUUAAUUAUUAUAAUUUAAAAGGUUUUAACCUUUGAAAAUAAACUUCAACUUGAAUUUCAGUUGAUUUUUAUCAAUCAUUUCAAAAGGUGAAACUUUUUAUAUUUUAUUUGAUUGGAUUUUAAUUGCUACGUUAUGAUGAUGAUAUUUUCACCUCUAAUUGUUAACCAACAAUUAAAAAGGGAUAACAGUGACAUUGCCGUUUCUUUUUUGAAGGUAAAUGUGAUUAAAAAAAGAUAGAGGAUGAUGAAGGUAAUUAA